UUGAUCCUGGCUCAGAAUCAACGCUGGCGGCGUGCCUAACACAUGCAAGUCGAACGAGAAAGUGGAGCAAUCCAUGAGUAAAGUGGCGACCGGGUGAGUUACACGUGACUAACCUACCUUCAAGUGGGGGAUAACCUCGGGAAACCGGGUCUAAUACCGCAUAAUAUCUUCGGGAUGAGAAGCCGAAGAUCAAAGGAGCUAUUCGCUGGAAGAGGGAGUCGCGGCUGAUUAGCUAGUUGGCGGGGUAAUUGCCCACCAAGGCUUUGAUCGGUAGCCGGCCUGAGAGGGCGCACGGCCACUCUGGAACUGAAACACGGUCCAGACUCCUACGGGAGGCAGCAGUGGGGAAUUUUGCGCAAUGGGGGAAACCCUGACGCAGCAACGGCGCGUGGAGGAUGAUGUCCCUUGGGACGUAAACUCCUUUCGACCCGGACGAUAAUGACGGUACGUGUGGAAGAAGCCCCGGCUAACUUCGUGCCAGCAGCCGCGGUAAUAAGGGUGU
rnacentral:rRNA from 1 species